rnacentral:rRNA from 1 species
AAUAGAUACCCCGGUAGUCCACGCCGUAAACGAUGGAUACUAGCUGUUUGAGCGCAAGUUUGAGUGGCUAAGCGAAAGUGAUAAGUAUCCCACCUGGGGAGUACGGGGCGCAAGCCUGAAACUCAAAGGAAUUGACGGGGGCCCGCACAAGCGGUGGAGCAUGUGGUUUAAUUCGAUGAUACGCGAGGAACCUUACCAGGGCUUAAAUGUAGAUUGACGUAUUUGGAAACAGAUAUUUCUUCGGACAAUUUACAAGGUGCUGCAUGGUUGUCGUCAGCUCGUGCCGUGAGGUGUCAGGUUAAGUCCUAUAACGAGCGCAACCCCUGUUGUUAGUUGCCAGCGAGUAAUGUCGGGAACUCUAGCAAGACUGCCAGUGUAAACUGUGAGGAAGGUGGGGAUGACGUCAAAUCAUCACGGCCCUUACGUCCUGGGCCACACACGUGCUACAAUGGCCGGUACAGAGAGCAGCCACUUAGCGAUAAGGAGCGAAUCUAUAAAGCCGGUCACAGUUCGGAUCGGAGUCUGCAACG